rnacentral:lncRNA from 1 species
GUUAACAUCACGGGUACAAUAAAUACAAAGAGAUUCAUUUUAAAAUAAAUAUAAAUACAAUAACAAAAAGAGAUUCAAUAAUACAAACAGAUUCAAUUUAAAUUAAUAAAAGUAUAAUACAAAUAUAAGUAGACAUAGCGAGUACAGAUAAAUCAACAUCAUGCGGUGUUGUUCGCUCGAUACGGGCAUUCCCUACGUGAAUGUCCAGGACACCUACAAACGCGGCAUCGCCUUGGUUCUCCCAUCUGGCUAUGGUCCAUGUCAUUGCGAUGACGCCUAGACUGACGUCGUCCCUUGGCGGUUCUCAUCAAGUCGGCGUUCGGAACCCAUUUCGGCCCAUCUGGCCACAACAUUUUGUAGUUCAUAUCAAUGCCCCAGGCCCAGAACUCACUGUUCCAAGUGUUGUACAGAUUGUACAUGUUGAAGUACGGUGAUAUGUAUGGCUCAACACUGAUUUUUUGAUCUGCAGCCGCCCAAAGCACAUGACUACAAGGGUAGCCCUCAAGCUUGGGCUUGUUACACGUGCACUCACAUGACGUUGGGCCGAGGGUGACAGCUUGUUUUUUUGAUCCACUGUGGUGACCCUUAACGUACUUGGCUCGCACAUUGACCUCCCACUUAUUCCUAAGUGCGUCCACUUUCCUGCAGCCAUGGCUUUGUGUAAGGGCAUAUUUAUCCCCAAGAUGUUUUGGUGAUUGAUGACAAUGCUUUUGCGGACUAAUCGUGUGCGUUGAGUUCUUUCAGAGAUUCAUCCUUUGGCAUGAGACGAUUACUUCCCCUCGGUGUUUUAUUCAAGACGGUGUAGCUCCUUCGUUUCUUUGCUGGUGGUCUAGUUUCGUAGGAGUCAUCGUACUAUCAAGAGGGGAUCCGCUUUGGUAAGGCUAGGGUGGAAUCAACACGUACACAUCCUUAUCACACCCGAUGCUUCUUUCCGCUUCAUUGGAGCUAUCUUUCCUAAUAUGUGCCUGCCAGUCCUUUCCCAGCGGUAGUACUGCGGUCCUCAGCGGUAGUACCGCCGAAGCUCGUCAAGCAGUAGUACCGCUCCCCGAGCGGUAGUACCGCUUGCGAACUUUGGUCGUAGUACCGCAGUGGUUCCGGGCUACUACCGCCUCGAUUCUCGACUACUGUUUUUCGUGUCGGGUUUUACGGUACUAGUAGCGGCAGUAGGGGCGGUAGUACCGCUCCAAGCGGUAGUACCACCAAUACUUCCGCGGUAGUACCGCUCUGGGGCCAGGACCCUACAUUCCUCAUCAGCACAGUAGUACCGCUGGAAGGGAGUGGUAGUACCGCCCUGCCCAAGCGGUAGUACCGCUCUGUGCGUGGCUGUUUGGGGGGGUAAUGGUUGGAUUGUUUCCCCCACUAUAUAAAGGUGUCUUCUUCCCCAAAGUUGACUUACCUCUUCCCCCAAAAGCUCCAUUGUUGCUCCAAGCUCCAUUUUCGCUCGAUCUCUCUCCCUAGCCAAUCAAACUUGUUGAUUUGCUCGGGAUUGGUUGAGAAGGCCCCGAUCUACACUUCCACCAAGAGAAAUUUGAUUCCCCCCACUAAUCCCUAGAGGAUCUUGUUACUCUUGGGUGUUUGAGCACCCUAGACGGUUGAGGUCACCUCGAAGCCAUACUCCAUUGUGGUGAAGCUUCGUGGUGUUGUUGGGAGCCUCCAAGUGUUGUGGAGAUAGCCCCAAUCUUGUUUGUAAAGGUUCGGUCGCCGCCUUCAAGGGCACCAAUAGUGGAAUCACGGCAUCUCGCAUUGUGUGAGGGCGUGAGGAGAUUAUGGUGGCCCUAGUGGCUUCUUGGGGAGCAUUGUGCCUCCACACCGCUCUAACGGAGACGUACUUCCCCUUAAAAGGAAGCAACUUCGGUAACACAUCCUCGUCUUCACCGGCUCCACUCUUGGUUAUUUCGUGCCUUUACUUUUGCAAGCUUACUUGUGUUGUAUCUAUUGCUUGCUUGUGUGCUAGUUGUCAUUGCAUCAUAUAGGUUGUCCACUUAGUUGCAUAUCUAGACAACCUACUUUGUCGCAAGGUUUAAUUUGUUAAAGAAAAGCUUAAAAAUUGUUAGUUGCCUAUUCACCCCGCCCCCCUCUAGUCAACCGUAUCGAUCCUUUCAAUUGGUAUCAGAGCCUCUUCUCUUUAUUAAGGACUUUGUCGUCCAAAGAGUAUGGUUGACACCAACGACGGUGCGGAGGAGCACUCCGGUGUGAAUCCUAUCUCGUCUACGGCCGAUGCGGGAACCUCGGUCUCACGUGAGGAAUCAAUGUGGCUUUAGACACAUUGAAAACCUCCAUGACGGCCGAGCUUAAAAGCAUGUUUACUGAAUUCCUAGAAGGACUUAAACUAUCCACCUCGCCAACGAAAGUGGGUGAUCCCACUAACAAGGUGACGGAUGCCAACUCCGACAAGGGGGAAGCUAAUAGUGAAAAAGGUCCUUCUACUAGUGGUAGAAAUGGCUCCGGCAUCUUUGCCCAUGUGGAACCUCCUACUUAUGGUGGACCGAUUCCCACUACUCAUUUAAAUCAUGCCGGUCCUCCUCCUAAGAUUGUGAAAAAUGAGGAUUUUGAUGCUUGGGUGUAUCGUUUCAAGCGUCAUUUAAAACAUGUGAAUACUAAUCUUUGGAGAAUUAUAGAAGAAGGUUUAUAUCCACAUGACCCAAGAAACUUCACCCCUCGAGAAGCCGUGGAUAAUCAAUUCAAUGAGAGUGCUCUCUUCAUCAUCCAAGAUGCAAUCCUUCCCGAAGAUCUCCCUCAUCUUCGACCUCAUGCCAUGGCUAAAUAUGCAUGGAAAUGUGUUGUGUCUCUCUAUCAAGGAAGUGCUAGCAUUCAACGCUCCAACUAUGAAGUGGUGCAAGAUGAAGCCAAUGAGUUUGCAAUGAAACAAGAUGAAGAACCUCGUGAGCUCUUUCGAAGAGUGACCAAACUCACGAUUGCACUCUGAGAUCAUGGGAGCAAGGACACGGAUGAAAAUUGGAUCAAGCGCAAGUUCCUCAAGGCCAUGAUGCCCUACAACAAGGCCAUGUCCUCUGUCAUUCGUGAAAGACCGGACUUCCACUCCAUGACCUCAAGUGAAGUGUUGGAUGAGUUCGUUGCAAUGAGCAUCUUGGACAAGACCGCCGAUUUCGGGGGUUGGGUACGACAUAUGCCAAAGGAUGGCUUAUCAUGGUGGGAGCGAGUAGGACGUCGCCGGUGCCCGGAAGCGGGGUGAGGCGAAGACCUGCACGCCGGUGGAACUUACCCAGCUUCAGGGCUCUCCGAUGAGAUAACACCCCUACUGCUGCUCUGUGGGGUCUCCGCAUGGUCAUUAUGGCAAAGUGGUUACAAUGGUGCUCCUAGAGCUAUUUCUGGAGGUAGGAGAAGGCAAGGCUAGCUUUUCCCUCCGAUGAUCUAAAGUCUAUGCAUAUCUGGGUCCGAACCCUUUGCACGGGCUUCUCGGGGGGUUUACAUAGGCCUACCCCCAGGGAUACAAUAGUAAUCCGGCUAGGAGUGGGUCCCAGCCGUCUGUCUCUCAAGCCGUCGUCCUUCCUGCCGACUCCUGGGGCCCGCCGACUGGCGGGCCCCGCGGACAGGCCUGAGACUGUAGCGGUACUCCUGAUGACGUUGGAUGGGUCAUGCGGUCAUGGCUACAGCGCCGCCGCCCGGCGUGCGUUCACUGUCGCCACCCCCCAUCUUAUCUGGUUAAUGGCGUGUGGGGCCCGAGGGAGGGGUCGGCCGACUCCAGGGGGCCAACUCCCACCGGUCCGUCUCCAGGGCGCUCAUGCCAUCUUCGGUCUACCCACUGACGGGCGGCCCCGUCUCCCUUGGGCCGUACAGGCCGGCGUCGUGGGCACAGUGCACCGCCUACUGUGGCUGAGGUCAGGGCAGGCAUGGCAACAGUGCCGUGCCUCGCCGGAGAUCUCCCGCGAUACGGCUCACUAUAGCCAUGUCGGCCCGUCGUAAGCUAGGGGGGAAAUGGCCAUGCCGUGGCCGUACCCCGCCUCGUCCUUCGAGACAAGGGUGGAGUCGUGGGCCGACUCUCCAUAGCCGGCCUCUCUGGAGGUCGCCGGCUUGGAGUCGGCUUAUCUUGGAGUCGCCAUCUGGGACUCGGCUUAUCGUGAAGUCACCGUCUAGGACUCGGCACACCUUGGAGUCGCUUCUGGGACUCGGCAUGAGGGAUGCGGCCUGCCCCGAAGUCUUGAAAGGUCCUGGGGCUCGGGUUGGCCUACCCGUGGCCCAUUACUCCGAUAGUAGUCCCCGAAGCUGGUGAAGCUCUACAGACGCUGCAUUGUGGGGCUUCAACAGUUUCAACCUUCCAGGAGUGGAUUCUGGAAUUCGGCUGCCGUCUUCCCUCGGGCCGACUAUCGAAGGUCGGAUUAGCGGAGGGCCGACGCGCCUCGCAAAGAGCUCGAAAGUCGUGGCGGGAGAUCAGGCGGCGUGCCUGAUACGCUUUCCUGUGGCCACCAGCGCGGUCCUAUCGCGUGGCGCCACGCGGCGGGGAUAGUCUGCCUACCCAUGCGUGCGACGGGACGGGCCGUCAGGCGGGGCCCGCCACUACCGCGCCUCGGCACACGAACUGAUCCGUUGCGGCCAUGCAGACGGUUGGUUUUCCCACAUUGUUACUGCGCGCAGUAACUUCGUGGGGUAAAUCGUGGGGGGCGUGGGGUCCUGUGCGCAGUUAAUCCCACACCCGCCCCCUUCGUCUUCUCAGCCCACAAGGCUAUAAGUAGGCUGGGGGAGCGGAGCGGCAGAGCACGCGCGCCCAUCUUCCCCGCUCCCUCCGCCCCCUCUUGCUUCCUCUCCUUCCUUUCGCCGCCGCUGAGCAAGAAAACACCACACCAGCGGCAAUGAGCUCUUCCUCCGCCGCCGCGGCCCCCGCCGUGCGCUCCGGCGUGUGGGACGGCUCGGAGGUGGACGACGAGCAUAUAGAGUUCCUCCGCCGAACGCGCUGGCUCCCCAGCGCAGACCUCGUGCGCGCCCGCGCCGCGCCGGAGGGGAAGAUUCGGCCGGCGCCGGAGGAGGGCGAGCAGGUCAUCUUCCGCUCGCACCUCAUGCGCGGCAUGGGGCUGUCGGCGAGCGGCUUCUUCCGCGCCUUCCUGCAGUUCCACGGGAUCCAGCCGCACCACCUCACCCCGAACACGGUGGUGCUGUUGUCCGCCUUCGUCACUCUGUGCGAAGGCUUCCUCGGCGUCCUCCCCACCAUCGAGUUGUGGGGAGAAUUCUUUUCUUCUAAGCUCGGCACGCACGUCGCCGGCGUGCCGGCUCAAUGUGGCGCCUUCAUCGCGUUGCGGCGGUCGACGGCCGACAACCCAUUCCCUGCCAUCGCGUUGAUCAAAUCGGUGAAGAUGUGGCAACGGUCAUACUUCUACGUGAAGAGCGUCGCCCCCGACGGGGAUUGGGUCAACUUGCCGCCUUACAAAGUCGGCGCUCCGGUUGGGAGGCUUCCCAGCUGGUCUCAUCGAGCCAAGACGUUGACUCCCGCCGGAGCCGCCGCCGUGGCGCGGCUCCGAGUUCUGACGCAGUCGGAGGGCCUCGUCGGGGCCGACUUGCUAGCUGCCUUUGUGGUGCGCCGAGUCCUCCCUCUCCAAGGCCGGCCUCAUCUGAUUAGUCAGAUGAGUGACCACUGGGAUCCGAGUCGGAUGUGCACCAAGGACAUGCCCCGCGCAGAGGUGGCAAACAUGGUGAACCAUAUUGCGAACUGCGAGUUCGGGGAGGACUGGCAGUUCGGCAAGGAGCCGUACUCGCGCGCCAACCCCCCUCCAGUGGUAAGUCGCAUCUCCUUAUUGCUUUGCCUCCUUCGUAGCCGACUCCGACUUCUGACUUUUUUAUUGGUUUCUCUGAGUUAGAACCCCCUCAUGCAGCCUGCAGCCGGCGUCACAAGACCGCCCCGCGAGUACGUCCCCGACCGAGCGGAGAGCGACGUCGACGACCCCGACUUGGGGGCGGCGGUGAUGGAAGCCGACGCCGAAGGCGGGGGAGGAGGAGCGGUAGGCGGCUUCAGGCCCUCUGCCACAUUCGCCGACUGGCCUGACGACGUCGCCGAAGGGGAAGUCGCCCCGCGCCACCAGCCGAGGGUCGGCUCAUCGGGCGCGGGUCCCUCCGCCGGCCAAGGCGGCUUGAAGAGGCGCCAGCCUGGGCCGAGUUCAUUCGGCGGGAAGCCGAAGAAGCUCAAGGGGGCGGCCACCGUGACCAGGCGGGAGGAGGCGGCCGCGAGGGCCAAUCGCUUCCGCAGGAAAGUGAGGAGGCCGCCGCUAGUCUCCGCGUAAGUGUUUCUUCCUUUGUCUUUAUUCUCCCUCGGUUAGUCUCGUCCGAGUUUCUCUUCUUCAUUCCCUUUUUUGCUUCAGGGAUCCCCUUUCCCUUGAGAGGGUCGUCGACCCCUCCGUCAUGGGGUCGGCGGAGACGUCAGCCAAUACUCGGCGGAUCGACCCCACCGCCGACCUCCAGGAGGCGACAUAGCAAAACGCGCGGGAGAAGCGCGUUGAGGAUGAGGCCGACCGCCUGGAGAAGGCGGAGGCCGAGAAGGCGGUGGCCUCCACCCAGAGAAAACUGGAGGAGGCCGAAGCCGCCGCCGCAGCAAGGCAGCGAGCUGAGGAGGCCACGCGUCGCCAAUCGGCGCAAUUUGUCACCCCAUUGUCCUCGGCGCCGCCCCCGGAGUUCAUAGGGCAGACUGGGGAAACCGGUGCCGAGACUCCCGUCAUGGAGAAGGAGAGCGGCGAGGCCUCCAUGUCGGACACGCUCAUGCCGCCACCGCCGCCUCCCCCGCCGUCUGGGAGAGCGCACGGCAAGCAGCCGGCGGGCCCACCUGAGCCGCCGACUGCGGAUGAGUCUGAGGCGAGGCUGCUUCUCCAAGUCGCCUCGCCGGUGCGCCGCCGUCUUGAGAGUGCGACCUGGGCACCGCGACCCCGGGAGACCCGCGCCGCCAGCUCGGCAACACCAGACGCCGAGGCGACAAGCGUCGCGCCCAUCGGGUGGUUGCGCGGAGGCGGCACCGGACCGCUGAAUCAAGUGCUUCUGGACGUCCAGGCGAAGCUGCGGGCCGAAGGCGAUGCUCUUGAAGCUUGCACCAGGGCGCAUCUGGCCGCGCGAACGGCCGUCCGAGUAAAUUUCCUUCUUCUUUUUGACUUCUUGUUUUUCUCUCUGGGGGCGCGCCAGCGCACCCACCGGGUGUAGUCCCCGAGUUUCGGGCCGGCUGCUGAGCAGGCGGUUCGGAACUCCCUCUGGCGAGUUCCAAACGUUAACUUUGUCUUAAAUGAUUAUUGCAGGAGUAUCACAACCUCCGUGCUACCGCCUUCAACCGAAAUGUUGAGGAGCUAGGCCGGCGGACGGCCGACUUGUCGGAGAGCCGGGGUGAGUCCUUCUUUCUCGCGGGGGCGCGCUGGCGCACCCGCGGGUUGUAGUCCCCGAGAUUCGGGCCGACUGCUGAGCAGUCGGGCCGGAUCUUCUUCAGCGACUUUCUUGUUGAUGACUUAUCGUCUUUUUUUUUCUUCUUCAGAGGCCAACGCCGCUCUUCGGCAGCAGCUGGGCGAGGCCAAUACCGCCCUGCGCACCAAGGAGGAGGAGUGCGGCAAGCUUGCCGCAGAGCGCGACCUGCUGGCAGGGCAGCUGGCCGAGCAGAAGGAGCUGCUCAAGAAGGCGUAGGACGAGGCCGAGAAGAAGGAGGCCACUCUCCUGGCCGAGUUCGAGAGCGAGCGCUCCUCCUAGACUGACAAGGAGGCGAUGUUAACCUCCGACUUCCACGAGAUCGAGGACAUCGUCGAUGGUGAGUUUCUUUUCCUAUCUUCGGGCUUCCGACUAUAGGUCGAGCUGAUUUCUGGUUUUUUCGACUCACUUCUUUUUUGUCUUGGCAGACUUCUUUCCUGGCCACUCGCAGGCCGUCACUCUGGCCAUCGAGGCUGAUCGCGAGCUGCGAAGGGCAGGCGGUGCGGAGAUCGCCGCUAACGCCCCCCGAACCAUCGAUGAGCAGCUUCUGAGCAUCGAAGCCCGUCUUCGUCCUGCCCACUGGCUGAUGCGCCGGCUUCAGCGUGCCGGUGCCCAGGCGGUCGCCACUUUGUGGCCAGGCAUCACUACUAGGGAAAACCUUAUACACAAAAAUCUAGCAACAACGCGGGUCAAAAAAGCGCGCUAGUGCUAUAUAGCAGUAGCGAUUUAAGAGAAACCGCGCUACAGAUACAAACUUAGCAGUAGCGCUGGUAGUCGUGAAAGCGCUACUACUAAUAUUCCCAUUGGCAGAAUGAUAGGCUACGCAUAGCAGUAGCGGGCUUAGAUGAAACGCGCUACCGCUAGGGCAUAAUUAACAGCGCGUUUCCAGGGAAGAGCGCUACUACUAACGGAAAUAAAAUAAGAUGAAAAACAAAUAGAAAAUUAAAUGAAAAUGAAAGAAAUAGAAAAAGGAGAAAGGAAAAAAUAAAAUGUAAAGCAAAAUAAAUGAAAAAGCGAAAAAUCGGAGGAAGGCAUAGCAGCAGCGUGUGUUUGUAAGAGGCGCUAUAGCUAAUGUAGCUGAAGCGCGUGUCCUAGACCCCCGCUAUAGAAACAGAAAAGGAAAUUAAAAAAGGAAGAAAUUUACAUAGCUAUAGCAGCAGCGCGUUUUGCAAAAACCGCUAUAGCUAUCUUAGCGAUAGCGCGUUUUGCGAAACGCGCUACCGCUAAGUUUGACUUAACCAAAAAACCAUUUCCCCCCGGCCACUUCUCCCCCAAAUCCCUCAACCCACCCCGUGCGCCGCCGUCUCCCCGAUUCACCGCCGCCCCACUUCGCCGCCAACGUCGACGCCACCAGAGCCAUGCGCCGUCGACGACACCGGAGCCGCCCCUAACGCCACGGAGCCGCGCGGCCUCGUCAACGCCACCGGAGCCGCCGUCGACGCCACCUUCCUCGCCGUCACCGGAGACGCCCCUGCCUCCCUCGCCGUCACCGGAUACGCCCCUGCCUCCCUCGCCGUCACCGGAGACGCCCCUGCCUCCCUCGCCGUCACCGGAGACGCCCCUGCCUCCCUCGCCGUCACCGGAGACGCCCCUGCCUCCCUCGCCACCACUGCCUCCGUCGCCACCACCGGAGCCAUCAUCUGUAAGCCCCCACCCCUCCUCUCUCUCUCAUGCAUAGGUUAGCCAGUUUAAUUAGGUUAAUUAUCUAGGUUAGGGCAAAAAUUUAGUUAGGGCUUUGACAGAGAAGUAGUUAGGUUAACUAGUUUAAUUAGGUUAAUUAUCUAGGUUAGUGCAAAAACUUAGUUAGGGCUUUGACAAAGAACUAGUCAGGUUAACUAGUUUAAUUAGGUUAAUUAUCCAGGUUAAUUAGUGCAAAAAUUUAUUUUCGGCUUUGACAGAGAACUAGCUGCGUUAACUAGUUUAAUUAGGGUUAAUUAUCUGGGUAAACUAGAUUAACUAACUAGGUUAAAUAGGUAGGUUAAUUAGGUUCAUUGGAUUAACAAGCUAGGUUAAGUAGAUUGGCAAAGGUUUUUGAUUUUUGAAAAGACCACUAUUUUUCAAGGAAAAGAAUUUAGGCAAAUUUUAUUUUUCAUUGAAGUGGUCAUGUUAUAUCUUUUCAUUGAAGUUGUUCGAUUGUGCCCAAGUGGCUUUGUUGUUUCCAGGGAAUGAUGCUGAGUGGCCUAUGUGUUGCCGGAAUGUUGAUUCAUUUCUGUUCCGGCAAAUUUCAGGUUCUUGAUUUGUCCACUUUUUAGCAAAGGUCAUGCUGAAAUUUCCCGUGAAUUUCGGCAUGACUUGUGCUACAAACUAGGACAUAUCGAGUGUCCGGGAUUUGCCGCACUAGGAAGGAGUCAACAUUCCUGCAAAACAAUAGUCCUUUUUAUGUCAUUAUUCAUUUUAUUAGGUCUAGAAUUAAUUGACUAGAUUUAAUCAUAGGAAACAUGGCUAGCAACGAUGAAGGACAGGGUUCUAGUGAUUGCGACGAUGUCUACCGGGCGGUAGACGAAUUUUUAGCCUUACCGACGAUCAACAGAUGUUGUUGCUGGGCCCACCGGUGGCAUCGGGGACUAAGACCGACACGCAGACCGGUGCUGAGACCGACACGCAAACCGGUGCUGAGACUGAGACCGGCGCUGAGAUUCAGACCGGCAUCGAGACCGGCGCUGAGACCGGUGCUGCCUCGGGGAGCGGAGCCGGUGUAGAACCGAAAGCAAAGAGGCAACGGGUUCCUAACAAACUCAGGACUACUAGACUGGUGGUCACGGAGGUGGACGAUGGCAAUUUUGAGCCAAAGGCGCCCGAGGAAGCGCGCGCGUGCUACGGCAAUCAAAUAGGCUGCAUCAUACGGACAACCGCCACCAUCAACGAUGAGAAUCUAAAGAACAUAGAAAAUAUGAGGAGCUCCCUCCUAAAGAAGUUUCACCAGAUAUUCUUGUUCCCGGGCCGAAAUGAGAAGGAUUAUGAAGAUCCAGACAAGGACCGGGCAAUGAAGAAGAUAAACAAACACGCCAUGACCAAGUUUAGCAACGCGUUGGCCGCCUGGAAAAAUCGAGUGAAAGCAAAGAUCAACGACGGGGAACCCUACUCCGAGAUUGUAAAGGAUAGUCCGACAAUCACGGAAGAGCGGUUUCAAAUAUUCAAGGAGGCUUGCGAGGCCGAAGCUGCCAAAGAAAAGUCUAAGUACAUGAAGGGGCUUCAAAAGAGGAACAUUGGGACCCACCACCUCGGAAGCCGUGGUUACGGCGGAAAGAGGUCCAAAUGGGCCAAGGAGGACGCGGAAGCCGCGAGUCUAGGCAUCCCAGACCCCUUGGCGGAUUUCACCGUCCCGCAGGAGCGUGACGUCCUGAGGGCCCGGCACCGUUGGGACCCAGUGAAGAAGGUUUAUGAGACAACACCGGUCAUUACGGAGUUCAUGAGACUGCUGGUAAUUUUAGUUUCUGAUCAAUUCGACUGCACACUUUAGUCAUAUUUGUAAACGAUCCUUGUGCCUUUUGCAGAGAGAGCAGCACCGGAUUGCGGCCGAAAGCGACUCGCCGUCUGAGGCAUUGGCGAGGCCCAAGUGGGACACUCCAUUCAACCGGGCGUUGAACAUAUUGAAACAACAACCGGUGGAUACUCGACCGUUGUAUGGACGCGUGCACGGUGUCGGAGACGGCGCCACGUGGAAGAAGUACUACCGUGAGACCACGGAGGAGAAAAAGGAAAGACGAAGGUUAACUGAAGAAAGCAUCGACAAGAAGGUUGAGAUUGCGGUUGAGAAGAAAUCAUCUCAGACAGUCGCAACAACGGUAGCUGCCGCAAAACAGGCGAUUGCAGAUAUAUCUACUUCCUUGGUGACGGGCGUUUACACUUGGACAAGGCAAAAUCCAGAAAAAAUGCAGAGGACUUUCCCCUUGCUGACUUCUUGGCCGCACCAGCUCCCGCACCUGCUCCCGCACCGGCUCCCGCACCGGCUCCCACACCGGACGUGCUCGGUGGUGCCUCCUCUUUGGCUGAACUCGACGCCCUCACGGUAUCUGCCACACCGGCCCCCUUCAAUAUAAAUGUAUAAUCUCCCGUUUUCGUUGCCUUUCGGAUGUCUCACGUCGCAGACUUUUCUUUGUAGGCCGACGAAACCCCAUGCACCAUAUUGUACACCAUCGGCGAACAGAAGGUGGACGUGGGUAAGGGGACGAUAAUGGAGCCGAAGGAACCAUUGUUCCACAGCCGGUCGAUCCCCCCGAACGUCUUCAAGGUUUCCGUGGCCAGUGUCAAACCAGGCCACGAGAAUUUGCCUCCUCUAAUACUAGUGGGGGAUGACGACGAGACCCCGCGGCGGCUUGGUGAUUGUUGCAAUGGGUGGGUCCUAUUGUGGCCAAAGAGUCUGCUUCGUCUGGAGGCGGCCGGGAGCACACCCACGAGCACGCAGCCUCAGCAAGGUAUGAACAUCAACACCCCACCUACCCAAUUAGCGUCGGGUGUCGGGUUGGGUGAUAGCGGAUGGGGUAAGCAGGUGGCUCCAUUAGUCGCUGAUGACAUCGCCAUGGAUGAGGAUGAGGAUGACGAUGGCGCUGAACAGUAUGUCUAUACUGGCGCCUCCUCAGGGUUUGAGCAUCAUGAGUCGGUGCCUGAAUUACCGUCUCAACGUAUUAUUGACGACCAUCCGGUGGUAAAGAAGCCUAGGAAGAGAGCGAGGAAAGGCAAAAAAGUUGAUUCUAUGAUCCAGCCGCCUCAGCAGCCUCGGCUUCAGGACCGUGUAGAUAUCCCCGAUGCUGAUAAAUGGCAUAUCCCCGGUCGACCAAUCCUACCUGAAACAGCGUACGGGCCAGAUUCGGCGAUCUAAGGAGACUUCAUGACGAUGUGUUGCGGGUAGAGAAAGGCCUCAUCGCCUCGAAAGAUCCAGGAUACCCACUCUAUGUGGUUAACGUUCCGCGGCAAAUGUCAUACAUCGACGGCUUCCCCGCGGAUAAGUUCUUCCUCCGAUUCGAUUACAUAUUCGACAUGUUUCACGUGAAGAAGCUGGAUUUUACGUUUGUCCGCCUUUAUGCCUUGCACAUGAACUACAUCAUUGGGGUUGAGUAGAUACGUUUUAUCUGUGUCGCUGACCCGUACUACAUGCAUGAGGGCUUCUUGGGAGUCUGUGCACAGCAUUGUGAAUACGCGAGGGAUUACAUCGUCAGUUUCAUGCUCGCCAAUAAGGACAAGGAGGCGAUUCUCGUGCCUUAUCAUCCCGUGUAAGUCAUCCGCGCUGCUAUCCUUCCUUCGAUUUCAAUAAUUCAUUUGCACGGUGGAGGCUAAUUAAUUUGAGGUGUACUUAUUUUGCGCAGCGGCGGGCGCGCCGUCCUCAUCAUCCUCUACCCCCGAUUCUCCCAUGCUCUUUACUUGAACUCGUCGAAGAACAUUCACAAAAAGGAUUACACCCACAUCAAAGAUGUUCUCGACAGUGUUAUGUUUUACUACCAAGCAAGGGGUGGAGAGGUUAGGGACAAGAAGAGAAGGGGCGGCAGGGCCGCCUUCAGCCAUAAGACCGACUUCUGCUGCAUCCAGCAACCGAACGAUUCUCUUAAUGAUGGAUUCUAUGUCCUACACCACAUGUUGGAGUAUAGACGGGAUCACCAGAACCUUCACAUGGCACCUAGAUCUGGCGAUGCCCAUAUUCUGCAAUGGGCAAAGGACAUAGGAGAUAUCGAGGAUCAUCGACUUCGAGCUGAGUUCUAUAACAUCCAGCGCGAACUUGCCCAAAUCAUCAUGAAUGAGGUCGUCGGAAAAACAGGGAUGUUCCAUGCGAACGACAAAUGUCGCGGGAAGACGUCCGAACAUGGAUAGCCUCUCAGCGUCUCGACAUGAAGCCUUUCACUAAGCUCGAUGACUAUCUCCCUGACAUGGAUGGAUGGCACGACAUGAUGGAGUGAUUGUCGAUAUAUGACAAUGUGUCUAUUUAGUCCAUACUUUCUUUUAUGACAAAACUUUGAGUUAUGCACGGUGAAACUUUAUUUGUGAUGUAAUUAAACCGUCCUCCUCCUCGACUAGCGAAAAUCACUCUAGUUAGGUCAUUUUGGGUACGAUGAACUUUGUUAUUUAUGCUUAUGAUAUGUUGUUUCUAUUUUUGCCAAGUCUGUCUCUUUCUAUUGCUCAACUAUAUAUGUUGCAUAUCAUCGAAUCAUGUGACGAUGCAGGUGCAUAGAUCAUAGAUGGCGAAGAAGUGCUACGCCAGGAGUAUAUAUACGACAAGUGGCCGGAGUGUCAGGCCCAGGUGUACCGGUUUUCGGUUUCCGAGCAACACGCAGUACUUAGUUUAGGUUCACGCUAAUGCGAGAGAGGGAUACGAACUCAUGUACUCAAAGUGAUAGCUAUUCUCGCGUAUAUCAUUGUUUAGAUGGAUGACGAUGUAUUUGCAAGUAAUCGAGACUUGUAUCGCUAUUUUCGAGAUUGAUGACGAGAGACCACUUUGUGUUGGAUGAUGAUUAUGAUGAUGACAUGAUUUGAUGAGACUAAUUGUAUGUAUAUGCUAUGAUUACAUUUGUAUGUGGAUGAUAUGCUAAAGAUUAUUGUAUAAAGCCUAUUCAAAUACAAAACAAAUAAAAAACAAAUAUGCAGGAAAAAACUAAUAAAACUAGUAGUAGCGAGGGGGGGAAAUUUAGCAGUAGCGCCGACUUACCAGUAGCGCUUCCUGCUGAAAAGCGCUGCAGAUAAUAUCAGUAGCGCCGUCUUCCAAAGAGCGCUACAGCUAUUCAUCAGUAGCAGUACUGUGGGUCAAUAGGCGCUACUGCUAUACGUUAGCUGUAGCGCCUUAUUAGUAGCACCGGUACCCGCUCUACUGAGAGGGCCAAAACCCGCACUGCUGCUAGGCUUUUCCCUAGUAGUGCAUGCCGGCCCUGCGCACCGCCAGUCAGACCACCGACUGGCUGGAGGUCGCAGAUGGCCGUCUUGAAGCUUGGAAGGGUUCCUCGGCCCGGGCCGGAGCACGCCGAGACUUGGAAUUCGUCAAGGCGUGGUAUCCGGGGCUGGACCUGGACCGGCUGGCCGCGUUCCUAUCAGAGGCCCAGGCGGAGUUGGUGGCAGUGGAGGGUGCUCUUGUCGAAUGUAAGGCGGCGAUUGCCGACUACACGGACACCAGCGUCUUCGUCCCUGAGCGGGCUAAAGGCGGCGAGGAGGUGCCGCUGGAGUGGUUCGGGAUGAACCCGGACUUCGGCGAGGACUCGGCGGAGGUGAUUGACUCCAGCACCGAGGAGGAAGGUGAGGCGGAGGACGAAGAUGAGAGGGAGGUGCCAGAAGACGGAGCGGGCGGCCAGCCUCAGCUCGACCGCGCCUCCAGCAACGAGCCGCGUCAAGAGAAAGCGACUGCCGCCGGAGGCGAUCAGACCGAGACCGCCCAGCUGACCGCCCCGGAUCCUGACACCGCCGUCUCCUCCGAUCCUCCGAUCCCAGAUGCCGCCUCCUAGGCCACCUUUUUCGCCUCUUUUUAUCUGUCUUAGUAAUCUUUCGGAAAACUUUGUUAAAUUCGAGCAGUUCCACCCGCGGGGUGUAUCUUGAACUUCUACUCAAAGAUUCGGCCAAGGGCCUAUAUAAAUAUUUAUCCGAGUUCUAUCUUUCCUUGCUUACUGCUCUUUAGGCUUUUCCCUUUGCCGCCUUCCUUUAGUUGUUGCCUUGCCAGUCGGACAGCCGCUCUGUGCACAGUCGCUGGGUCAAAUGCUUGGCUACUUCGGGAAGGCAAGUACUUGGCCAUUUUAGAGUCUCUUUAGCAAGUUGGAUAGAAGGCGGCAGGCCGACUACCCAAGAGUCGGUUGUCCUUGAUAGAGGCUAAUAGAAACGGCAAGCCGGCUAUUCGUGAGUCGGCUUUUUGCUUCAGAAAUGCUGGAGGCCGUCUUAUGCUAUGUUCGUGCUUUAGGUCCUUAGCCAUUUUUCGCAUGGGCGCCCGUUCUUCCUCACUCCUACCCGCCUCACAGUCGCUCUGCGAGCUGCGGCUUUGCCAGGAGACGGAUUAGGCACCGCACACUACUUGUCUGACUGCGGGAAGCUCCUCAUAGCGCAAGGCGGCGAGUCCCCGGGCCGACUAGUCUGGCCUGGUGCCAAGUGGCUUUUAACAAUAGAGUAACAUACUCGAAGGCAUAAUUCUUAUCAUACAGAUAACAAAAAGGGCAGUCCCUGAGCUCGUCUCGGGGGGCCCAAAGUCUUGAUACUUUAAUACAAAAGGGGAGCGUGAUACAUACUGCAUCAACUGUAAAAUCUUCGGAGAAGAUUUGCAUUCCACGGGCGCUCUGUCUCUUUGCCGGAGUCGUCCCUCUUGCGCACUCAGGGCUUCUGAGCGUCGAUCAGAUAGUAGGAGUCGUUUGCUAGCACCUUGCUGAUGAUGAAGGGGCCUUCCCAAGGUGCCGACAGCUUGUGCUGGCCGGCUGUUCGCUGGAUCAGCCGGAGCACAAGGUCGCCCUCUUGGAAAGAUCUUGGCCUGACCUUCCUGUUAUAGUAUCGACGCAGACUCUGCUGGUAGAUGCUGGACCGGCUGAGUGCCAACAGCCGGCCCUCUUCCAGCAGAUCAGCGCCGUCUUGAUGUGCUUCUUCUGCUUCUUCCUCGGUGUACAUGGUGACUCGCGGGGAGUCGAACUCUAUGUCCGUUGGGAUGACGGCUUCGGCACCGUAGACAAGGAAGAAGGGUGUGAAGCCGGUUGACUUGUUUGGAGUCGUGCGCAUACUCCAAAGGACGGCCGGCAGCUCCUCAAGCCAGCAGCCGGCAGAUCGCUCCAGCGGCACGACGAGUCGAGUCUUGAUGCCGGAUAAGAUGAGGCCAUUUGCUCGCUCCACCUGGCCAUUUGACUGCGGAUGGGCAACACACGCUAAGUCCAGUCGGAUGCCCCGCGUCAGGCAGAAACUGGCCAAGGCGCCCUUGGCAAAAUUUGUGCCAUUGUUGGUGAUGAUGCUGUGUGGGAUGCCGUAUCGAGUUGUGAUGUCAGCGAUGAAGGUCACUGCAGUCGGACCAUUUAACUUCUUGAUGGGCUUCACCUCUAUCCACUUGGUGAACUUGUCCACUGCGACAAGUAGAUGAGUCAGGCCACCUCGUGUCGUCUUGAAUGGUCCGACCAUGUCCAGGCCCCAGACUGCGAAGGGCCAGGCGAUGGGGAUAGUCUUGAGUGCGGAAGCUGGCUGAAGUGGCUUGGAACGGAACAUCUGGCACCCCUUUCACUUUUGGACUAACUCUUUGGCCUCUUCCAGUGCGGUUGGCCAGAAGAACCCGUGCCGGAAGGCUUUGGCGACGAGUGCCCUUGAGGCCGCAUGGUGGCCGCACUCGCCUUCGUGGACGUCUCUGAGGAUUUCUUGGCCUUGUUCUGCCUCGACGUAGCGUUGGAAAACGCCAGUGACGCUGUGCCUGACCAGCUCUCUGUUGACUAUGGUAUAAGCUGCUGCUCGGCGUUGCACUUGCCGAGCCAAGAUUUCAUCAGUUGGCAGCUCUCUGUUUACUAGGAACUUGAGGAUGGGCUGGGCCCAUGAGGGUGCUGCUAUUUCUUCAACUGCCACUAGUGCGACUUGGAUAAGGGCGGCUGGGCUGGGAGGCGGCGGGUUGGGGUCCGUAGCCGCUUGCUGACUUGACGAAGUCCCCGGGCCGACUGGAGCAGUUCCCGGGCUGAGCUCUGGAGCUUUUGGUCUUGUCACCGCAGUCCCCGGGCCGGGUUCUGGAGUCCUCGGGCCGGCUUUGACUGUGGCUUUCUUGGAGUUGGAUUCGACUUCUUCGGGCGGAGCCGGCACAAAGAUUGAGUCUGAUUCUGGUGACGGCUUGAUGGACGGCUUAAGGAGGCGUCGAAGGGCGAUGCCGGAUGGUAUUGCUUGGCGGGUGGAGCCGAUUCGUACCAAGGCGUCUGCUUGGUCAUUGUCGUUCCUUGGCACGUGGAGGAACUCGCACCCCUCAAAGUAUCCGCUGAGUUGCUGCACCAGGAAUCGGUAGCUCGCCAUGUUUGCGUCCUUGGCGUCCCAUUCGCCAGAUGAUUGCUGGACCACCAAGUUAGAGUCGCCAUAACAUAAGAUCCGGCGAAUGCCAAGCUCUUUGGCAAGCCGGAGCCCGUGGAUGAGUGCUUCGUACUCGGACACGUUGUUGGAGGCGGCGAAGUGGAUCUGCAACGCAUAUCUGAGUUUGUCGCCCUUGGGGGAAGUGAGGAAGACGCCGGCUCCCAGGCCGGUGCGCAUCUUGGAGCCGUCAAAGUGCAUCCGCCAAUGAGUGGAGUCGGGCGCUGGCGGCAGAUACUGGGUCUCGGCCCAAUCGACGAGGAAGUUGGCCAGCGCUUGUGACUUGAUGGCGGUGCGAGGCUCGUAGUAGAUGGUGUAGGGAGCUAGGUCGAUGGCCCAUUUGGCCACUCGGCCAGAAGCAUCUCGGCUUCCGAUGAUCUCGGCUAGCGAGGCUGUGCAGACCACGGUGAUGGGAUGCUCCUGGAAGUAAGGCUUCAAUUUCUUGGCGGCGAAAUGCACGCCGUAGCACAUCUUCUGGUAGUGGGGGUAGUUCUGCUUGGAGGCCGACAGUACCUCGCUCAGGUAAUAUACCGGUCUCUGGACAGGUAGCGCCUUGCCUUGCUCCUUGCGCUCGACUACAAUGACUGUGCUGACUACCCGGCUGGUGGCGGCAAUGUAUAGGAGCAUGGGCUCUUUGGGAGUCGGAGCCGCCAGCACGGGGGGAGUAGUCAACAUCUUCUUUAGCUGGAGAAAGGCUUCGUCCGCCUUGGGAGUCCAUUCAAAAAAGGUUGUCUUCUUCAUGAGCUGGUACAGGGGGAGAGCCUUCUCGCCCAGCCGACUGACGAAUCGGCUGAUGGACGCCAAACAGCCGGUGAAUUUUUGCACAUCUAACAGUCGUCUGGGCGCUUCCAUCCUCUCGAUGGCCUUGAUCUUCACAGGGUUGCACUCUAUGCCGCGUUUGGAGACCAGGAAACCGAGGAGCUGGCCGGCUGGUACUCCGAAGAAGCAUUUCUCGGGGUUGAGCUUGAUCUGGAAUCGGUGUAGGUUCUCAAAGGUUUCCUUGAGAUCUUCCAACAGAGUUCCACGUUUUUCCGUCUUCACCACCACAUCAUCCACGUAGACGUGGGCAUUUCUGCCGAGUUGCUUGAGGAGGAACUUCUGCAUGCAACGCUGAAAGAUGGCGCCGGCAUUCCUCAAGCCGAACGUCAUGGUCAGGUAGCAGAAGGCUCCAAACGGCGUGAUGAAGGUGGUCUUUAGUCUGUCAGCUGGGUUCAGCUUGAUCUGGUGAUAUCCUGAAUAUGCAUCUAAGAAACUCAACAGCUCGCAUUCGGCUGUGGAGUCUAUCACCUGAUCAAUUCUCGGCAGAGCAAAUGGGUCCUUGGGGCAGGCUUUGUUGAGGCUUGUGUAGUCAAUACACAUCCGCCACUGCUUGUUCUUCUUCAGCACUAGCACUGGGUUUGCCAGCCACUCUGGAAAAAACACUUCCAUGAUGAAGCCGGCUGCCAGGAGCCGGGCUAUUUCUUCUCCAACAACUCUUUUUUUUUCUUCUGACAGGCGGCGCAAGGGCUGCCUGACGGGCUUCAUAUCAGAUCGGACAUGUAAUUUGUGCUCGGCGAAUUUCGUCGGUACACCAGGCAUGUCCUUGGGGGACCAUGCGAAGAUGUCUCAAUUCUCACGGAGGAAAUCGACAAGCUCGCCUUCCUAUUUGCUGUCAAGGCCUGUGCCCAUGACAGCAUACCUCUCUGGGUGCUCUGGGUCCAAAGGUAUCUUCUUCGUUUCUUUGGCCGGCUUGAAUGAUCCUUUUGCUUCCGACUCCUUGGGUCGGGUGACAACUCGGGCUGCUUGCCGGCCAUUGCCACGACCCGAUCAGGAAGCCGUUUCUCAGCUGCGAUCACCAGGGACUCGGCCAGCCGACUGCUUUCGUCCGCGCAGGCGGACAACUUUCUGUAGUCGCCGGCCACGGUCAGAAUUCCCUUGGAACUUGGCAUCUUCAUCUUGAGGUAGGCGUAGUGGGGGACAGCCAUGAACUUGGCCAGAGCCGGUCGGCCAAGCAACGCGUGGUACGGGCUUUCAAGGUCCACCACUUCAAACCAGACUGGCUCUCGGCGGAAAUGAUCUUUGUCCCCAAAGAGGACGUCUAUCAAGAUCUUGCCAAUUGGUGAGGAGGAAAGGCCAGGAACAAUGCCGUGGAACACAGUCCGGCUGCUCUGAAGCUGUCUUCGCUUGAUUCCUAAUUUCUCCAUCGUAUCCUUGUACAGGAUGUUGAUACUGCUGCCUCCGUCUAUCAGCACUCGCGAUAAGCGAGCGGCCUGCCUAUCUGUGGCGAGUGUGGCGCCUAAGACCAAGGCGUAGGAGCCUGGACUCGGCAUCACCUCUGGGUGAUCGGCUCUGCUCCAACUGAUGGGCCUUUCGGACCAGUGCAUAAAUUCUGGAGUGCUUGAUGCGACUGCAUUCACUUCUUGCUGCUGUUGGCGCCUGCUGCGCCGGUCGUCUGUCACACUGGUGAACACCACAUAGGCUCCGUGCUCAUCUGGGAACUCGCCUUGUAUAGCGCCGACUGGCCUGACAGCCGGCUGCUGGGGCGGCUGUGGUGGAGGCGGCCCAGCAGGCGGUGGUGGGAGCAAGCCGUCUCCCUUGGCGAUUCUGGUCAGCCAGUGGCAUUUCCGGGUGGUGUGGUUUGACGGCUUUGCGCCGCUGUGAAACUUGCAGGGGCCAUCCAGGGUCUGCUCGUAGGAGAAGGCCGGCAACCAGUUGGACUUGCCGCCCAUCUGCCGCUUUGCCGGAGGCGGUCCCUCCGGCUGUUGGUCUUCGACUGUCGCCACUUGCCGGCUGUUGGAGGCCGGCUGCGGGGCCUUACGCUUGUGAUUGUUCUGCUGUUGCCGCCGACUGGAGUCCCCAGCCGAAGUUCUUGGAGCCUAAGGAGCAACUUUGCCAGUCGCGCUGACUUGAAUCUCCGCCUUCAUGGAGGAGUUGGCCGUGGCGUACUUGUCCGCCGUGAUCAGUAGCUCGUCGAGGGUCUCCGGCUCGUCGCAGAGAAGCUUGUGCUUGAGGAGGGUGCCUUCUCUACAUCCGGUAGUAAAGUACUCGAUUGCCUGCACCUCGUGCACGCCUUCGCAGGAGUUCCAGAGCUCGCCCCAGCACGUGAGGUAGUCGCGAGUGGACUCGUUGGGACCUUGCAUGCACAGGGAGAGCUCGCGAGGCAUGGGAGGUCGCUUGUACGUGCUCAUAAAGUUGCGGACGAAGGCCUCGGUGAAGUCGACCCAGUUGUUAAUGCUGCGGGGCUUCAGACUGUUUAACCAUGUUCGGGCCGAGCCCUGGAGCAUGAGCGGGACAUAUCUUACAGCAACACGCUUGUUGCCAUUCGCUAUAUUGACGGGUGUGGAGUAAUCGAUCAGCCAGUCUUCCGGCUUCACGGUGCCGGUAUAUUUGGGCGUGUCUCGGGGGAGUGUGAACCCUUUGGGGAAAGGCUCAUCUCGGAUGCGGGGCCCAAAGCAGGGUGGACCCAACUCGUCUUCUUCUUCCAGCGCCAGGGACUAAUGGAGUCGGUCGAUCCGGUGGCGGGCGUCAUUUUCUCCGACUCCCUCUCGGCGGCCGAGUCGUUCACCGAGAGUCGGAUGUUCCACGGGCGGCGGGGAGACUCGCCUUUCUCUGCGAGGAGGGGGAGGCAGGUAGUCGUCCCGCCGUUUCACCGCUUUGGGGCGGCCGUCUUGGUCGCGCUCGAUGGUGAUGCGAGUCCGACUGUGGCUGACAGCCGGCUCCUUGUCCUUCUUUCCGCGGGCUCCGCCAGUCAGCGUUCGGGACGUCGCGCCUUGGUCUCGGCGGGGCGGCGGGUCGUCGUUUUGUCGCUGCGGCGCCUCGGUGCGGCAGCCGGCUUCAUUCUGUGCGGCAGCCGCGUCGAGGAGCUGCUGAACUCGCUCCGUCAUCAUGCGGCGCUCUUCGCCCUCGAAGUUGUCGAGCUCGUUUGCCGCUGCCUGGGCGGCAUGGAUAUUCUCCGCGGGCGUGGCAUACACAGGGCGAUCAGCCCCGAACAGGUUGGCGAUUGCCACGCCGCGCUGUCGGACCACGCCUAAGCGGCUAGGCCCAGUCGGAGCCGGCGAGCCGCCCACGACACGAUCCAUCUCACGCUGGUACUCUUCUGACAAGCAUCUCAUGCUUGCCAACUUCUUCGCACCCUCAAUAAGCUGAAGGCGGCGUGCCUCCAGCGUCUCGGCGUCAGCAUCUCUCGGAAUCGGUGCGGCAAGGUCUCGCAGAGCUGCGUCGAGCGGGUCGUGCGCUCCUUCACCAGAACACUCUCCGUGAUCGAGGAUGAGAACUUCUGUGACGGUGCUUCCGUCGCUCCCCUCGUAAGGGAGCGGCUCGUCGUAGACCACCACGUUGGUGGGAAACGUGUCGAGCAACGCGGUGUCGGAGUCGACCAGCAUCAGGUCGGUGGAUCCUAUGGACUCCAGGUCCACGGCAGGCUCGCCGGUGACGUGGAGUUGGUCGAGGAGACCCGCGAGGAGGCUCUUGGGGCCGCUCGUGCCUGCAUAGAACACAGGCUCUUCGGAGAGGCCAACCUCACCAAUAAGCUCGGCGAGGCUGCUGGCCGCGCAGGGGAUAUCAGCGCCGCGUAGCGCGUCAGCGCAAACUCUAUCUGGCGUGCCAGGCUGGCUGCAUUCGCCAGGGAGGAAAAGGGUUCCCGUCCAGAGCAGGUCUCCGGACGACGGUGCAUCUGGCCCCACGGUGGGCGCCAAAUGUCGGGGGUUGGGUACGACAUAUGCCAAAGGAUGGCUUAUCAUGGUGGGAGCGAGUAGAACAUCGCCGGUGCCCGGAAGCGGGAUGAGGUGAAGACAUGCACGCCGGUGGAACUUACCCAGCUUCAGGGCUCUCCAAGGAGAUAACACCCCUACUGCUGCUCUGCGGGGUCUCCGCAUGGUCACUAUGGCAAAAUGGUUACAAUGGUGCUCCUAGAACUGUUUCUGGAGGUAGGAGAAGGCAAGGCUAGCUUCUCCCUCCGAUGAUCUAAAGUCUAUGCCUAUCUGGGUCUGAACCCUUUGCACGGGCUUCCCGGGGGGUUUACAUAGGCCUACCCCCCAGGGGUACAAUAGUAAUCCGGCUGGGAGUGGGUCCCAGCCGUCUGUCUCUCAAGCCGUCGUCCUUCCUGCCGACUCCUGGGGCCCGCCGACUGGCGGGCCCCGCGGACAGGCCUGAGACUGUAGCGGUACUCCUGAUGACGUUGGCUGGGUCAUGCGGUCAUGGCUACAGCGCCGCCGCCCGGCGUGCGUUCACUGUCGCCACACCCCAUCUUAUCUGGUUAAUGGCGUGUGGGGCCCGGGGGAGGGGUCGGCCGACUCCAGGGGGCCGACUCCCACCGGUCCGUCUCCAGGGCGCUCAUGCCGUCUUCGGUCUACCCACUAACGGGCGGCCCCGCCGCCCUUGGGCCGUACAGGCCAGCGUCGUGGGCACAGUGCGCCGCCUACUGUGGCUGAGGUCAGGGCAGGCAUGGCAACAGUGCCGUGCCUCGCCGGAGAUCUCCCACGAUACGGCUCACUGUAGCCAUGCCGGCCCGUCGUAAGCUGGGGGGAAACGGCCAUGCCGUGGCCGUACCCCACCUCGUCCUUCGAGACGAGGGUGGAGUCGUGGGCCGACUCUCCAUAGCCGGCCUCUCUGGAGGUCGCCGGCUUGGAGUCGGCUUAUCUUGGAGUCGCCAUCUGGGACUCGGCUUAUCGUGAAGUCGCCGUCUGGGACUCGGCACAUCUUGGAGUCGCUCCUGGGACUCGGCAUGAGGGGCGCGGCCUGCCUCGAAGUCUUGAAAGGUCCUGGGGCUCGGGUUGGCCUACCCGUGGCCCAUUACUACGACAGCCGACAAUGCGGUGCUCCGUUCUCAAAGGGCAAAGAAGCCCAACCUUGCCUUGAAGGCCAAGGUCAUUGCGGAAGAAGAGGAAGAAGAAGAAGAUUAAGAGAGCAACCCCGAAGACACGAAAUAUGAUUAUCAUGAGCACAUGGCUCUUGCCUCAAGACAAUUUUGGAGCAAGAAGAAUACAAGACCCAACUUCAACAAGAACAUUUCAAGUGGCCUCAAGGGCAAGCAACGAGUUAGAACUUGUUUCAACUAUGGCAAUGUGAGCCAUUUCGUUGCGGAUUGUCCUUACGAGAAGCGGGAAGAUAAUGGUGGCAAAUUCAUCCGAAAAGACAAGGCCAAGUCCUUCCCCAACAAGAACAACCUCACCAAGAAGACUCCUACUCGUGGGUUGGUGGUUCAAGAAGAAUACCGUGAGGAUGACGAUGAUGAUGAAGAUAGUGAAGUAAUGGCCGUGGCAUCCGUUGCCAUUGCCACAACUCCCCGGGUGUCUCUCUUCGAUUCACCUAACGAGAACAUCACCGCCAAGUGCCUCAUGGCUAAGGCCACCAACAAGGUAACCCCCAACAUCAAAACCACCAUUAUUCCUAAUCCUUCUUCAACUAUGGUUUUGAUGAUUGUAAGGGUUCUAAUGAGGAGGUAAAUGAAUUUGAGUCCUUCAUGAGUAAGCUCAAGGGCAAAUCCAAGAAGCACUUUGUUGCUCUCUUGGAAAAACUUGGUGAAGCCAAUGACAUGAUCGAGGCUCACGAAGAAACCAUCUCUAAGAUGGAAGGUCAUAGUCAUGACUAUGCCGAUGAUAUAUUGGAUCUCUCUAAUGAUCUUGAGGAAGAGCGUGGGCAUCGUUUGGCUCUUGAGGAGUCACACAACGAUGACCAUGCCAAAUUAAAGAAAGAUCUUGAUCAUGCUCUUGUUGUGUCUCGUGUUCUAACUUCCGAGAAGGCUAAGCUUGGCGUUGAUCAUGCUAGACUCAAGGAGGAGUUUGAUGUACUUGACAAGGCCCAUAAGGUCUUGAAAGGUGCUCAUGCAAACCUCAAGGAGUCUCAUGCUCAACUCCAAGUUAAGCUAACCAAGGAAAAGGCCACAUUUCCUCACAUGGUCUUAAUUGAUAAUGCAAAUGCUACUAACCCGUGUUGUGAGCAUGUGCAUCUUGUGGAGGAGAAUGCCAAGUUGAAGGAACAACUCGAGAAAGGUCUUGUGUCAUGCAUACAAGGCGAGAAGAACCUAAAUGACCUUUUGAGCAAUCAAAAGGAAGUUGUGGGCAAGGAGGGAGUUGGGUUCUCACCCAAGUCCAAGAACAAGAAGAAGAACAAGGAGAAGAAUAACAAGACCAAACGACCUCCCCCGCUCAAGCAAACCUUUGUGAAGGAGGGAGAGGGUGCUCCUAAGGAGAAGAAGAACAAUGCGAAGAGUGGUGAUGCCAAAGAGCGCAAAGCCAUCUCUCCCAACAAAGCCGGCGAAUUUAACCCCUCUUAUGUGUUGUGCCAUGCUAGUCAUGGGCAUGUUUAUGCUAAAUUUGUUGGUUCUUCUUAUGAGUACAUUGAAUGGUAUAUUUGGGUUCCUAAGACCCUUGUUACUAACAUCAAAGGACCCAUUACUCAAUGGGUACCUAAAACCAAGCAUUGAUCUCUUGUAGGUGUUUGCUUCCGGUGGGGGAUCAUGGUUGCUCGAUAGUGGAGCAACAAAUCAUAUGACCGGGAGCAAGGACUUGGUGGUGGACGUGCAAAAGAUCCCAUCUAUGCCCACCAAUGUCGAGUGGGGUGAUGCCUCACAUUCCAAUGUAUUGGGUCUUGGCAAGGUUGUCAUUUCUCACGAUCUAACGAUCGAGAAAGUCAUGCUUGUUGAGUCCCUUGCAUUCAAUUUACUUUCCGUUCGUCAACUUGCACUCAUGGGCUUUUCCACCUUCUUUGAUAUUGAUACCGUGGCCCUCCUGUGGAGCAAGACUCUUAAAGUAGCCUUUGUUGGGCAUGUCGAGAACGGUCUCUAUGUGAUUAACUUUUUGGAGCAACCCACUAAGACCGCGACAUGCCUAAUGGCUAAAGUUGAUGUGGGAUGGCUUUGCCAUCGCCGUUUAGCCCACGUCAAUAUGAUAUCUUUGCAAAGUCUUCUCUAGGGGGACCAUGUCCGUGGACUAACAAAUGUUAGUUUUGCCAAAGAUCGUUCUUGUGGUGCUUGUAUCGAAGGAAAGCUUCAUGAGACGGCUCACCCUCCCACGACUAUCAUCUACUCGAAGAGACCCUUGGAGCUCCUGCACAUGGACCUCUUUAGGCCUCCAUCCUUUGAUAGUCUUGGGGGUAGAAAGUAUUGCUUAGUGAUUGUGGAUGAUUAUUCAAGAUACACUUGGGUAUACUUAUUCAAGAGGAAGAGUGAGACUCAACAAACCGUCAUCGACUUUGCAAAUGAAGCUCAACAUCAACAUAAUGCAAAGAUCUUGACAAUAAGAAGUGACAACGGCACCGAGUUCAAGAACUACACAUUGGAUGAGUUUUUAGUGAUGAGGGGAUCAAGCAUCAAUAUUCUGCACCAUAUACCCCUCAACAAAAUGGUGUUGCAGAGAGGAAGAACCGGACGUUGAUGGAUGCGGCAAGGACCAUGAUGGCGGAGUUCAAGUCUCGAUACAACUUUUGGGCUGAAGCCAUCAACACUGCAUGUCAUGCAUCCAAUCGGCUCUAUCUCUCCAAAGGCUUGAACAAGACUCCUUAUGAGAUACUCAUCGAGAACAAGCCCAAUCUCAAGUACUUCCGGGUGUUCGGGUUCCACCGGACUCAUUGAGGAGAUGUGUAACGUGGAGUUUGACGAAAAUAACGGCUCCCAAGUGGAGCAAAGUGGUACUUGUGAUGUAGGUGAUGAAAUUCCUCCCCAAGCCAUAAGAAGAAUGGGUAUUGGUCAUAUUCUACCCAUUGAGGAACCCCUUGUGGCCGAAGGAGAAGGACAAUGCUCCACUCAAGUGGAGCCUUCAUCUACUCAAGACCCACACACUUCCGAAGAACAAAGUGUAGGCCCUCAACCUCGGGAACAAGACCAAGGGCAAGAUCAAUCUCAAGAUGAUGGUGAACCUCCAAAUGAUGCCCAAGGUCAAGUUCUCCCCCUCGAGCAAGUUCAAGAUCAUGAGCAACCUCAAGAUCAAGAACAAUCUCAAGACGGCGCUCAAGAUGAUCAAGUUAACCCUCCUCCUUCCACUUCCGAGGAGUAAUUAGAGUGUUGUGCCGCGAAGAUUGCUUCCAAACUCACCACCAAAGGCCAUCUCAUGGAAAAUGUGGUUGGAAGUCUAAGAAAGGGGGUAAGCACUCGUAGACAAUUAGCAAAGUAUUGUGAACAUCACGCGUUUGUCUCUUGUGUUGAACCCCAAAAGGUCUAUGAGGCGCUCGAAGACUCGGAUUGGAUCAAUGCCAUGCAUGAAGAACUCAACAACUUCGAGUACAACAAGGUGUGGAGAUUGGUGCCAAGGCCAUCGGGGAACCACAAGGUCAUUGGAACCAAGUGGAUCUUCAAGAACAAGCAAGAUGCUCAUGGGAACAUCAUUCGCAACAAGGCAAGAUUGGUAGCACAAGGCUACUCCCAAGUCGAGGGUAUCGACUACGGUGAAACCUUUGCUCCCGUUGCUCGUCUUGAAUCCAUACGUUUGUUGAUUGCUUAUGCUUCCCAUCACAACUUUAAGUUGCAACAAAUGGAUGUGAAAAGUGCUUUUCUUAAUGGUCCUAUUAAUGAGUUGGUUUAUGUCAAGCAACCCCCCGGGUUCGAGGAUCCUUACUUCCCGGAUCAUGUGUAUCAACUCGAUAAGGCACUCUAUGGCCUUAAACAAGCCCCACGUGCGUGGUAUGACCACCUUACCGAGUUGUUACAAGAUCGUGGAUUUGAAGUUGGGCAAAUUGAUCCCACUCUUUUUACUAAGAAGGUCAAAGGGGAGUUGUUUGUGUGCCAACUAUAUGUUGAUGACAUUAUCUUUGGUUCCCCUAACAAAGCUUUCAAUGAAGAAUUUGUCGCUCUCAUGACCUCUAAGUUCAAGAUGUCUUCGAUGGGAGAGUUGAAGUUCUUCCUUGGUUUUGAUAUCAAACAAAGAAGAGAAGGUACCUUCAUCAACCAAGCCAAAUACACUCAAGACAUGCUUAAGAGAUUCAAGCUAAGUGAUGUCAAGCCGGCUUCUACUCCAAUGCCUACCAAGUGCCAACUUGACAUUGAUCCCAAUGGUAAAGCGGUGGAUCAAAAGGUAUAUCGCUCUAUGAUUGGAUCCUUGCUUUACCCUUUGUGCAUCUAGACCGGAUAUCAUGUUGAGUGUGGGUAUGUGUGCACGGUUUCAAGCCGCACCAAAGGAAAGCCACUUUGUGGCGGUCAAGCGAAUCUUUCGAUAUUUGGCUCAUACCCUAAACUUUGGCCUAUGGUACCCAAGAGGAGCUAACUUCAAGCUUGAAGGAUUCACGGAUUCUGAUUGGGCGGGAGACAAGGUGGAUAGGAAGUACACUUCCGGAGGGUGCCAAUUUCUUGGUUGCUCUUUGGUAAGCUGGUCUUCUAAGAAGCAAAGUUGUGUAUCUCUCUCGUCCACCGAAGCGGAAUAUGUGGCGGCCGGCAGUUGUUGUGCACAACUCUUAUGGAUGAGGCAAACUUUAAAGGAGUACAGUGUCAUUUGUGACAAAGUGCCUAUUUGGUGUGAUAAUGAAAGUGCCAUCAAGAUUUCUCUCAACCCGGUGCAACAUUUCAAGACAAAGCAUAUUGAGAUUCGGUAUCAUUUCAUCCGGGAUCACAUUAGGCGAGGGUAGAUCAAGCUCAAGUAUGUCAACACUCAUGAUAACCUUGCAGAUAUUUUCACGAAGCCCUUGGAUGAAGCAAGAUUUCGCGAGUUAAGGCAUGAGCUAAAUAUCAUUGAUUCGAGCAAUGUGACUUGAACCCGUGCACCCCCCACCACACUCAACUUGUUGUCUAGUUUAGAUGUAGGCAUGGACAUAGGGGGAGUGUUGUUCUCUCAAUGAACUCUCCCUCCCCCCAUUAUGCAUAAAUUGAUCUAGUCUUCCACUUUAACCAUAUUUUUAUGGUACUAGUGCUUCAAGGAUGAGUUUUGGUCAUGGGUCCAAGGUUAAAAUCUUCGCGACGCCAUACCUCUUGACUCGAACAUAGGUGGCCUCGGCCACCGCCCUCUCUUGAAGAAGUGUGUUCUGGUCCGUUGUUACUGUGUUUGUGGCCUUGCUGGUCUUUCCUCUUUCUUGGUUGUGUUUUUUUCGUUCUUUUUGAGCUUAAGCCAUGUGUCUAGAGGCCUGUGGUUGCUGAGCGGUACUACCGCUGGUGGUGUGCGGUACUACCGCUCUAAGCGGUACUACCACCCACCAGCGCCGUACUACUGCUGCGAGGCGGGGGCAGGGGGGUUAUAUCGGGGGCAGGGGGAGUUUUCUUCUCCCCCAUACCCAUUCGCUCGCCCCCACGCCCUGUUCGUCUCUCCAGCAACCGGCGCCGCGGGAGGGCUCUGGCGGAUCUCCCUCUCCGGAGCGCUCCUCUCCAUUUCCUUCGGUGGAGACGAUCCCCACCUUGUCCUCUUGCCAUGGAUGCCGAUAUUGCCCCCGUUCCCUCUCUCUUCUUGUCUAUAUUUCCAAUCUAGCAUCUUAGGGGCAAUAGUAGUUGCAUCUUUAGAUUUUUGGCCAAAUCUAGGCUUGAGUAGGAUGGAGAAGGCUUCUAGGCAGUUUGGAUUGGUGUUUGGUAGGAGUAUUUUCGAAUUUGGUAGGACGGUAGUGCCGGAUCUGACCACGGCAGUAGGAAACUGUUGUUUCCUGUCUCGAGCGGUACUACCUCUCCCUCUGGAGCGGUACUACCGCUUGGAGCGGUACUGCCGCUCACAGGUCACGGCCCUACCGCUCUCUACCAGAUUCCACCAUACUUUUUCUAAUCAGUGAUCCUUUUUGGUUGUGUUUGGUGGCUUAUGCUCGUUAUUUCUGGUUGUUUGCGUGUUCUUGUGUGUGGUUCCGGGUGAUGAGCUUCCUGAGCAUCAGGCUCGGCGUGUCAACCCCGGUCGUGCCAUCUCCAAGCGGUACUGCACUACUGAGUCUGUAGGAGGUUCCUCAAGUGCUCCUCCUCCACCCCAACUCCAGAAGAAGCUUGGUGUCAAGCCGAAGCAAUCUGGCAAAAUUGUGCCAGAAAUGCCAGCCAAGGAGUUCUGGGCAAGACAUCGCCGCAACCCCUAUGAGGCAGACAAAGAUCCCACUUUGGUCAACCGUCCAUUCUGGAACAGGUUUCAGUUUGCCAUCUUCUUUGAUGUUCUCAAGGCCAAGAAGAACCUCUUUGUUAACAUGCACUCCAUCGACACCGACCAUAUGGAGAAGGAUCCUGAUUACUUUGGUGAAGCUCUUCAGAUGUGCACUCAACUAAACAUUCUUGGUGUCAUGUAAUUCAACAAAGAUUAUGAUGCUGAUAUUGUGGCCCAAUUCUAUGCCACGGUUCAUCUCGAGACUGAUGAGGACAGGACACUGACUUGGAUGACCAAUGGCAAGUUGCUUUCAGUCAAGUGGAAGGCGUUCAUGGAAUUGAUUGGGGUGGAAGAUCAAGGGCUUGCGUCUCCUGUUGGCUUUCGCCCACACCGCAACACCUCCGCCACUCACAAGCAAGCUCUAUGGCCGUACUGCACUUUGAAGAUCAACCCUGAGACGAAGAAGGAAACAUAUGAGCUUCCUGCCUUUCUGGACAUUCUUCACCGUGUCUUCCGCGAGACCCUUUUCUCUCGCAUCGGGAAUCUGGAUAUGGUUCAUUCUUAUCUCAUGGACAUGCUUCUUUUCUGCUAGCGUGAGAAGGAACAAAACACCGGAGAGUCCCUGGAUAUAUCCCAUGUUAUGUGGUCUGAGCUUUUAUCUGCUAUCUCCGAGCGCAAGUGCCCGAUUUAUGGUCCGUUCAUCAUGCUGCUUAUUGAGAAGGCAUGGGGUCGUGUCUAUCCCAAGGUGAUGCUAGAGACCGGGGAGUUGGUUUCUCACGACAUCAAGCGUCUGAGGAAGAAGGACAACUGGGGCUCUCAGGUCCCUAAAUCUUGAGUUCCUUCGUCUGCUACUGCCAUGGAGACCGAGGAGGAGGCUGAGGCUGAUGCUGAGGAUGAUGAUGACUAUGUGCCUUCUGCGGCAGAGCCCUCUUGGGCAAAGAAGCUCAAGCUCAAGAUGAAGAAGUUGUUCUGCAUGGAGGCUCACGGUCAGUACAUGACUCGUGUGGGUGAGAAGAAGGCUCGUCGUCGUCACAAGGAGCUCAUGCGCCAGUUGGGUGCCACCGUUAAUAGUGGAUCUGAGGACCAGCUUACUAAGGAGGAGGAAUCGAUUCAGCAGCACUGCCCGUGGACCGAUUCUGAUGUCGAGCACUUCCCGACCGACGAUGGUGGCACAGACGAUCCCGCUGAGACCUGAUAUUUGAGUCCCUCUCUUGCUAUCACCUGGAGCUAUAGCAACACUCCCUCUCCUUUUUGAUGUCUCGAUGCCAAAGGGGGAGAGAGUUUAGGGAUUUGUGUUGUGUCUUCCGUCGUUUGUGUUUUCUUGCAGUUUGCCUGGUUUGGUUUGUGUCUGGUUUGUGUCAGUGAGACCUAAGUUCCAGUCAUAUGGUGUGAGACAUAUGCUACCUUAUCUUUCGAGUAUCAUUAUCUAUGUCUAUCUAGCUUAUGAGUUGCAUGCUUAUCCUGUUAUCUAUGUUGCUCUCAUAUAUCCUGCUUAGGUAGUUGGUCUCUAAAAUGUAGGGGGAGCGUUGAUCCUGGUAUCUGUGUCGUGCAGUCCAAAGCACUUAUCUAGACAGCACAUAUCCAGGGGAGCCCUUCUACAUUUUAGGACGGUGGGGCUUUGUGCCUAUCCUAUAUCUUUCCUGUUUGUGCAAAUCCCGUAUUGUCAUCAAUCCACCAAAAAGGGGGAGAUUGUAAGGGCAUAUUUAUCCCCAAGAUGUUUUGGUGAUUGAUUACAAUGCUUUUGCGGACUAAUCGUGUGCGUUGAGUUCUUUCAGAGAUUCAUCCUUUGGCACGAGACGAUUACUUCCCCUCGGUGUUUUAUUCAAGACGGUGUAGCUCCCUCGUUUCUUUGCUGGUGGUCUAGUUUCGUAGGAAUCACCGUACUAUCAAGAGGGGAUCCACUUUGGUAAGGCUAGGGUGGAAACAACACGUACACAUCCUUAUCACACCCGAUGCUUCUUUCCGCUUCAUUGGAGCUAUCUUUCCUAAUCUGUGCCUGCCUGUCCUGUCCCAGCGGUAGUACCGCGGUCCUCAGCAGUAGUACCGCCGAAGCUCGUCAAGCGGUAGUACCGCUCCCCGAGCGGUAGUACCGCUUGCGAACUUUGGCCGUAGUACCGCAGUGGUUCCGGGCUACUACCGCCUCGAUUCUCGACUACUGUUUUUCGUGUCGGGUUUUACGGUACUAGUAGCGGCAGUAGGGGCGGUAGUACCGCUCCAAGCGGUAGUACCGCCAAUACUUCCACGGUAGUACCGCUCUGGGGCCAGGACCCUGCAUUCCUCGUCAGCACGGUAGUACCGCUGGAAGGGAGCGGUAGUACCGCCCUGCCCAAGUGGUAGUACCGCUCUGUGCGUGGCUGUUUGGGGGGGUAACGGUUGGAUUGUUUCCCCCACUAUAUAAAGGUGUCUUCUUUCCCAAAGUUGACUUACCUCUUCCCCCAAAAGCUCCAUUGUUGCUCCAAGCUCCAUUUUCGCCCGAUCUCUCUCCCUAGCCAAUCAAACUUGUUGAUUUGCUCGGGGUUGGUUGAGAAGGCCCCGAUCUACACUUCCACCAAGAGAAAUUGAUUCCCCCCACUAAUCCCUAGCGGAUCUUGUUACUCUUGGGUGUUUGAGCACCCUAGACGGUUGAGGUCACCUCGAAGCCAUACUCCAUUGUGGUGAAGCUUCGUGGUGUUGUUGGGAGCCUCCAAGUGUUGUGGAGAUAGCCCCAAUCUUGUUUGUAAAGGUUCGGUCGCCGCCUUCAAGGGCACCAAUAGUGGAAUCACGGCAUCUCGCGUUGUGUGAGGGCGUGAGGAGAUUACAGUGGCCCUAGUGGCUUCUUGGGGAGCAUUGUGCCUCCACACCGCUCUAACGGAGACGUACUUCCCCUUAAAAGGAUUGAACUUCGGUAACACAUCCUCGUCUUCACCGGCUCCACUCUUGGUUAUUUUGUGCCUUUACUUUUGCAAGCUUACUUGUGUUGUAUCUAUUGCUUGCUUGUGUGCUAGUUGUCAUUGCAUCAUAUAGCUUGUCCACUUAGUUGCAUAUCUAGACAACCUACUUUGUCGCAAGGUUUAAUUUGUUAAAGAAAUGCUUAAAAAUUGUUAGUUGCCUAUUCACCCCCCCCCCCCCUCUAGUCAACCGUAUCGAUCAUUUCACUUUGGGACUUCUUUGCUUUCUCAUCCAGAUGUCUUUGCAUCUUCUCGGACCAUGGCUUGUUCAAUUCAACUUGUGCUUUAGCCACGGUAACCCUGUCUGCAAAGUAUGACAGGGUCCGAUUCCAAGUUUCUUCAAUUAGGGUUGUGAUAGGCAAGGCUCUCACCCCUUUAAGAACACCAUUGUACACCUCUGACAUGUUGCUGGUCAUUAUUCCAUACUGAGCCCCGGUGUCGUGAGCCUGCGCCCACUUGGACAAAUCAGGGCAAUUCUCGCCGAUCCACUGGCUCAAAUUUAUGGCCGUCCUUUGACCCCUCCGGUCUUCUCUCUGCGGCAAGGCCGCGUGCUCGAUCUCACCAUUGAUACCUGCCCAGAUGCCAUUCAUUUUGGCUUGAGUUUUCUGCAUGCACAUCCUCUUGAAUAACUUGAACCAAUCCUUAUUCUUGAAUUUAGAGUAAAAGUUUGCUGCCAAAUGCCGCAUGCACCACCUUCCCUCUAGAUCAGGCCACUUCCACUCUUCUGACGACUGCUUAAUUAUGUUGAGAGCACUUAAUAAUCCUGUGUUGCGAUCAGAGAUGAUGCAAACACCUAAACGCUCUUUCACAACACCCAUCUUCACGCAGCUCAGGAACCACAACCAGCUAUCUUUGUUCUCGCUCUCGACCAGUGCGUAUGCAAUAGGAAGAAGUUGAUUAUUUGCAUCUGCUGCAAUCGCCACCAAUAGUGUGCCCUUGUAAUUUCCAGUGAGAAAGGUACCAUCAACUGAUAAUAGCGGGCGACAGUGCCUGAAGGCUUGUAUAGUCUGGGCGAAUGCCCGGAAUAAGCGGUUCAGGAUUAGCUCAACCGGGUUCUUUGGGUUCUGACAUUUUCUCCGCCAAAUUUGAGUCCCCCUAUUAGCACUUGCUAUCUGAUGAAGCAUUCCGGGGGCAUAAGAAUAGGCCUCCUCAUAGGUUCCAUACAAGUUCUUGAAUAUAUUUUCCUUCGCACGCCUAGCCUUGUUGUAGCUGACAGGGAAGCCAAUCUGAUCUUCUGCAUCUUUUUGCAAAGCCCUAACACUAAUGUUGAGACUUCCCUGCAUGAUCGUUUCCAUCGCAUGUGCCACAUAUCUUGCCGUCACAUUGCAGUGAUUUGAAAGAGUCCCAGUUUGCUCACAGCUAUGCUGCACUAUUUUUGUGAUAUGCCAUGACUGACAUACCCCCAGGCUUUAGUCUAGCGAGAACUCUUCCGCGGCAACCUUUCGCGGUGUGGAUGCAUAUGACCUUCAACUCUUUUUUAUCAGACUGCUUCACUUUUUGCUGGCGGUGGAGGGCGAUUGCAUACCUAUUAAUUGCUUGGUAAGCAGACUUCUUGUCUGGGAAAACCUGCCCAACCACCAGGCUCCCCGCUUCUAGGCCAGAAACAGAGUGAAAUUCAUUUGUGAUGCUCAUAUCCUGUAAAAACCCAAGUUGCAGUGACGCCACGACCGCCCUCUGGGGAGGAACAUAUUCUUCUUCGCUUGACUCGGAAGACGCGGAAGAGUGGUCGUCAUCAUCGAGCGCCUCCGGCAAUUCCUCCACGUGUUCACUCAUGUCAAUGGCCGCAGACCAAUAUCAUGUGUCAUACACAGGCUGGUCGCCCGUCGGUUUCGAUGGGCCGAUGCUAGGGGCUAAUGUGAUGGCCAACUCGACCUCACCGCCCCUGCUACUGCACCCGGCAACAUCAGUGACUGAAAUGAACUCCACAUACACCAUCGGCUGACCAAACACUGGGUUAUUGGGAUUGCUUGCAAACCUCGUGUACGACCCCCACGACUGAUCACCUGUGACAGGCCACAAACCCCAACAGGCAGUUGUCCCAUCAUUUGCUCCGUCAGCAACGAAGGCCUCCAUUGUCAUUUUUUUCCCUGCAUCCCUGGGCCAAACACCGCUCGGAUGCACCUUCUGACAGCUGCGUAACCCACGUUGACCAUGUCUCUAACUACAACUGUAGUCGGCUCGCACAAGGACACAUCCACUCCGAAAGGACCGUCGCGUAAGACGUUCCCAUAGUACACUACUAAAUUUUCCAUGGUACCUAACCAACAUACAUGCUUACAUUUCAAACAAUUAGUAACUGAACAUUUAGUAGUAGUACGAUGACAACAUUUACAUAUCAUACGACUAAAAUAAUAAUCGUAUUUUCGUUACAAAUAUUCGGUUUGUUUUUAAAUUCAUUUUCUUAGACUUUCCGGGGUUGUCGGUAUUUACAGGUCUAUUUUUUCUCAAACUCGUCUACGAGCGUCACAAACUAAAACUCUGUUUGCUUUUAUCUAACUAUCCCAAAAAUAUCCUAAACUGAUUCUCGUAACAUGCAAAAACUGAGCUUUUGGAAAAGCCACUAUUAGUAAAAUCUAAUUCUUUUACAAGUUAUGACAAAACCGAUGGUAAUUACUUGCUAUCCAAACAACCACUAAACAUAAUAGUACGAUAAUAACAUUUUAAUAUCAUAUCAUUAAAACAUUUAAUUUCUUCCGGCUUUAUAUAAUUUUUUCAUGUCAUAUGAUAACAAUCAUUUAUUUACAAAUAAUAAUAUCUGCAGCGGCAUGCACAUUAUUCACAACAGUACAUCAAUACAAAAAAUAUUAACAUGCAAAAACAUAGCUUUUGGAAAAUAUUUAAUAGUACGAUAAUAACAUUUUAAUAUCAUAUGCUUAAUACAUUUAAUAUCUUCCGGAUUUAUAGAAUUUUUUUCAUAUCAUAUAAUUAUAAUCAUUUAUUUACAAAUAUUAAUAUUCGCAGCGACAUGCAUAUUAUUCACAACAUUACAUCAAUAUAAAAAAUAUUAACAAUAUUACGGAGUCAUUUAUACCUCAGCUCCAAUAUGGACGUGCUUGCGACUGCAAUUAAGCGUCCAAAUAGUUCGAAUAAAUAACCGUCACCAGUAUUAUAUGAACGGAGUCAACCUAUUAUCACAUGAACAUCAAUAUUACACACGGAUUUUUCUUUCUGCUAUCAAAAGUAUAAAAAUAACACUUGCUUGUAUGUAGACCUACGGUUUCCUAACUAUAGACUUAGUAAUAAACAUACCACAUGAAAUAACAUACCACAUGCAAUGAACAAUUGCAGUGCUAUUUUUUUCUUAAUUACCGUAUUAAGAUCUUCUCUCAUCUCAAUACUAAUGGACGCAGCUAACAUUGAUACAACAUCUUCAACCUACUCUUCUAAAAAAUUAGUAUAAAUGUUGUAUCUGUCGUCUGCAAAUUUUUCUAACCUCUAAGCACUUACAUCACAUAGCUAAUGACGAGCUAAAAGACUAACUACUUACCACCGUGCAUGCACAACAAAAUACUUAUAUUGCAAAGCUCAUACCUUGUUCUUCCACUUUGUACUUCACUUUGCACGGCAAAU